rnacentral:sRNA from 1 species
GCAGGGGGCAUGCGCAGCGCCCCGGGCUGGGGGCGCCUGGGGGUUGUAGUCCGGGGAGGGGCACCCAAGGGAGGGGCACUGGGGAGGCCCAGAAGUUGGGAGGGGGGAGCCCAAGAAGCAGGGAGAGAUGCGGAGGCAGGGAUAGAGAUGCUGGGUAAACUGCAGUUGGGGUGGACCGGCAGAGGUCUAAGGCAGUGGACUAAGGGAAUAACCUGAGGGAAGCCGAGUGUCUGUGAGCCUACGCUCCUUUUAUCCUGUCCCUUUGGCUCUGCAGAAGACCCUUUGGGCACUAGAAAUAACAAACCUGACGCUGUCUGUGGCUGUUGCUUGCUGAGAAGGGCAUGGGGCUUGUUCUGACAUCCUUAGUCACCCACCUGAGAGUGCCCUGGCACUGACGGGUCUCAGCUUGACUACUCCCAAGAACAGGGUGGUCACUACCUGCUGAGACUUCUAGUCAGAGAUUUUAGAUGGCUCUGUUAAAAGUGACAUUCCUCCUGACCUAGAGUAAAUCUCAGUGGUAUAUUGCUUGCCUAGAAUGCCUGCAAGGCCUCGGGUUCCAUCCCCAGCACCGGGAGUUGGAGUGGGGAUGCAGAAGGAAGGAGGACGCCUCCUAGGAGUAGGAUCUUGACUCUAGUGCUGCAGAAGAUGCAGGGAGCCCUCCACCCUCUGCUCUUCCUCCUUCCAUCUCACCCUUUAAUAGCACUUCAGUUUGGACUCCCAGUGGGGUGGGCUUCGACCCUGCUUUUGCCAAAUACUCAGAAACUACCUUGAGACCCCAUUCAUAUGUGUCACAGCAGGGCCUAACAUCCGUGACCUUCAACAGUUCCUACACCCAGUGGCCUUCUUGUGAAGACUCUGAUCUCCUCGCCUUGCCUGGCCUGGGUCCCACGACCUUAACCUCUGGGUUCUGCCUCCCACCUCCUUCCAGCUCCUCCUCGGUUCUGUGACCCUCAGUCAGGGCUCCUUGGAGCUAGUCUGAGUUCUCAUCUUCCCUUUAAUCCCCCUGACUUUAUGUACACAUAUGUGUGUGGGGGUGCUCACUUGUCCAUGUGAAACGUGUAGGUCAAAGGUCAGUGUUGGGUGGCUUCUGUCAUUCCCCACCUUACUUCUAGUUUUCGUUUUAGAGGUGGGCUCUCGCACUGAGUCUCACUUUACCAUUGUCUAUAUACCGGUUGACCUGGAACCUUACUGUCUCUGUGCCUCUGGGGCUCAGAGGCUUACAGGGUUAUAGAGGUGUGCAGUUGGACACAGCUUCUGGAUGCGUGCUGGAGAUCUGAGCUCCGGUGCCCGUCAUCCACUGAGCCUGGGUUCCCAUCCUGGCCACCUUUCUGCAUCUUCAUGCCUGCAGUACCUACCCACCUAUACCCGUGAACCAGGUGACCCCAGACGAAGACCCUGCUCUAAGCCCAAGACACACGAACACACAGAUGAAACAUGCUGUCGGAGACUUUCCUAUAGCCAGUAUGGCCAGGACUCUGCUGUGGGGACCCCAAGGACACAGUGUCGGCCUCUGCUGCUCUGGAAGGGCUUCUUCCUGUUUCCAUCAACCUACUCAGCCACUCAAUGGAGCAGAAUCUGUCCCUGCUCCCUCCUCUCCCCAUGGCGCUUCUACCAUAUUCUGAGUAUCCCCCAUGCCCUCCUCCCUACAUGGUAACUCCUCCAUCAGGCCUCCUAACCGCUACUGCUAUCCCAAGUCUACAUACACAUCAGCAAGCUGGGGCUUCGAGGGAGUAAGUUUUAUGUCCAGUGUUACAAAAUGGGGUUCUCUUUGGCAGCAUCUCACCCUGUAAUGCUAGAGAUUGAAGCUAGGCUUGUCACAUGCCAGGUAAAUGCUCUACCACUAAACUGCAGCUCAGCCCUGGUUUGCCACAUCCUGAACUUCCUCCUGUCAGAACUACUUCAGGUGAUUCUGCGUCUCCUCACCUUCCUUUCUCUGGGCCACCCAGGGACAGCUCUUCAUUGGUCUUCCCUCUUACAUGCCUUUCCCUUUCCAUCCCCCUUCCUCCCUGAUCCUGGUGUGAUUACCUCCAAGUUGUCUGAGUAAGCUGUUACCUGUGGAGCCACCCACCGCCUCCCACAUCCCAUGGCUUCCAGGAUUGUGCUCAGAAGCUAAUCUAAGGCCUUGGCACAGUGCUGGCUGCCUGUAGUCUAGGAAGACGUCAACUUGGAGGUCCGAAAAACAAACAAGUGGGCUGAGGAACUGUUCAGCAGUUAAGAGUGCUGUGGUCUUACAGACCACAGGCUUCGGAUCUCAGCACCUCUGUGGCACUGCCUGUGACUCCUGUCCUGGGGGAUCUGAUGCCCUCCUCCUGGCCUCCACAAGCACUGUACCCAGGUACUAUGUUGACUACACACAGGCCUCACACACUUAAAAUAAAAUCAAAGUUAACGAACUGGAAAGAUAGAUCAAUGAUUAAAAGCACUUGUUACUCUUGCUAAGGACCCAGGCCUAAGGUUCUGUUCCCAGCGCCUACACGGCACCCACAGCCAUCCGUGACUCCGUGACAAUGGGUUUGAUGCCCACUUCUGGCCUCCUCAGGCACCAGCUAUGCAUGAGGUUUGUAUACAACAUACAUGCAGGAAAAAUACUCAUGGGUUAUAAAAUAAAAAGUUUUUAAAACAAAUAAACACCUACUCUGCCAUUUGGUAACCCCAAUAUCACCUCCUUUUCCCCAUCAUCUCCCUUCAUGCCAAGAAAUCAUAGCCUCCAAGCAUCUAUGAGCUGUGUCUUCACUGUAUGUAGAAUAGUACUGAGUCCCUCUCAGACAGUCAUACUUUCGUCCUGUGAGGCCAACGUCCAGUUUCCCAUCAGAACAGCAUAGGCUGAACAACUGGCAACAUUUCCCCAGGAACUGACACAGGCCAAGCACAAAGUGGUUGCUCACCGGAAAUCUGAAUAAUGGGCAUGUUGACUCACACCUUUUCCCAGGCACAAAGAUAAAGAAAAUAAUCCGGACAAGAUUGGCAUGUUUUGUCUGUGGUGUUCAUUGUGGUUUCCCCAGGACUUGGUGGAUCCUUGAACACAGUGAGUUCACAGUAGGCAUUAAGUCAGUGGAUAGAGUGAAUGGACACAGACAGGAACAACAAGCUAUGAUGACAAUAGUAAUUCCUGUCGUUGUCCAGAGAUUUAUUUACUUUUCUGCUUGGUCAUGUGGGGAUUAAACUGUGGGUAUGAUAAGCAGGCAUUUUACCAUUUAUAGUUACAGUCCUUCUCUUUAAAGAUGAUGAUGAUGGUGGUGAUGAUGAUUUAAGACAGGGACUCAUUAAGUAGCAUUGGCCAGCCUCGAUCUCACAGAGACCCACUUGCCCAAAAGCAUGUGCCACCAUACCUUGCCCAGAUUCACUAUUCUUCUCAUUCUGUGUGUGGGUGUGUAUAUAGUGUAUAUACAUGUGCACAUAGGUUCGUGCACAUGCAUGCAGGUACUUAUGGAGGCCAGAGGUGUUGGAUCCUAGAGAGUUGAAGUUACAGGCAGUUGUGGGCUGCUCUGGGUGCUCUGAACUAAACUCGGAUUCUCUGCAAGUGCAGCGUGCUCUCUUAACUGCUAAACUGUCUCUGUAGCCCCUACGUUUAAACACUUUUUAAAACUAUUUACUUAAUGUGUUUCAUUUGCACGUUUGUGUUCACUAUGCAUGUGUCUGGUUCCCAUGGAGGUCAGCAGACAGCAUCAGACUCCUUGGAAUUCGUGUUACGGAUGGUUGUGAGCCACCACGAGAGUUCUGAAAACUGAAGCUUGGUCCUCUGCAAGGGCAACAGGUGCUCUUAACCACUGAGCCUUGUGGCCCCUCCUUUAACAAUUUUCAUUUUGAGAUAGAGUACUGUCAGUGUGCUCAGACUGACUUUGAACUUGCUGCCUCUCUGCCAUAGCCUCCUAAGUAGCUGUAAGGAUGUGUGCCAGGGCCAUCGAGGUGGCUCGGCAGGUGGAGACACUCGCUACCACCUAAGAUCUGAAUUCAGUCCUUAGGGCCCUUGCCGAAGGGAGAGAGCUUCCUCUAGCAGCUCAUCCUCUGGCCUCCCACCCUGAGUACAGUACACACAAACUCAUUCAUAACUGAUCCUUAAAGGUGUGCAUCGCACACCUCAUCCGCCUUCUGCUGCUUGUUGUCUCAUGCUGCCUGAGGGCCUGGGGAUUGGAUCCAUAGCCUUGACUGACUAGGCAAGCCCUUGCUAGAUCCUUAAUGACUUCCACUGGUCUCGUGCCUCCAGGAUCACUUGAAAUCUACCAAAUAAACCUAUGAGUGAGACUGCAGCACACGUCAGCGUCUUUUGCAGUCUUUCUCUGUGAGCCGAGGUAUAACCAGGCCCCCUGGUCAGGAAGGACCCUGUUCCCUGUUACUUAUAUUGGAUAUGCUGCCGAUUCCAUCCUAAGUCACUGCCCACGCUUUCCUCCCACCAUGCGUGGCUCAUGUCCUGUCUCCUGGAGGUCUCUUCUCUAUCAUAGCCUUCACAGCUUAGCUUCUCCAGUUCUUCUUAACUCGUACGGAGUUUGAGGGAAAGUCUAUUAGAUUUGUAGAUUGUGUAACCCCUUUCCUAGAAAUUCUGAUUCCAUAGAUGUGGCCUGGGACUAAGGAAUCUGAGUUCUUAGCAAUUACCUCUGAGGAUUCUGAUUUCCAGUCAAGUUUGAACACUGUUGGAUAUUAGGUUAGCUGCUAUGCCACAAAAACAAAACAAAAAACAGAAACCAAAACCAAAACCAAAACAAAAACAAAAAAAAAAUUCCUCCAACCUUGAGUGAUUCAAGAGGACAGGAAUGUUUCAGGCUGGGCGUGGUGCCUCAUGCCUUUAAUUCCAGCACUCUGAAUUCCAGCCUGGUCUACAGAGUUCCAGGACAGCCAAGGCCACACAGAGAAACCCUGUCUUGAAAACACGGACUACAGAGUGGUGGGUCGAGUUACUUUCAGAGAUUCCAUUCUCAGAGAAGACCCAGCGCUUCAGGUGGAGGAGAAUUUAUGCACAGCGGACCCACCUGUGAACUCUGGCUAACUCUUCCAUCCACUACACAGGACUUGCCACAACGAUCUUGUCCAGGAGUGGGUGAAGAGCUGUCAGGCCUAAGCAUCCAUCAGCUAGUGUCUCCUGAAGCUCUGUUCACAGCCUGUUUCCAGGUUUAUCCAGAUCACAAAGGACUUGGAAUUUGGUUUGAUGUCACUUUUCUCACCAUAUUCACUGCUGCCUGGAACCAUUAUAACCUGAAAGUGACUACAAUAUCAUUAACCAUAGUGUUGGUCUUUCUAUGCUAACUUAAAGAUUAAUGAAGAAUAUUUACUGAUUAAUAUUAGAUAAUUAAAUUAUUAAUUAAUCAACUUAUCAAAUACAUUAAUAAAUUAAAUAAUAAUGAUGAUGCUGGCAUAUCAUUCUUACAAAGAGCCCAUCAGGUACCAAACUCUAUUUUAAGUAAUGUAGGCAUUAACUCAUUUUUUCCUCUCAAUGGCUAUUUGGGGUCUCUACUAUUGUUUCCAUUUGCAGAUAAAAAAAUGAAAGUAUAAGGAGUUGAAGUGGUUUGCUCAAGGCAAGAGGUAACAUUAAAUCCAUCAAAAGCCAGAUAUUCUGCUAGUCACCUGGUCUCUAUUCCAAGGGGUGCAUUCAGUCAUUCAAACUCAGUUACAGAGUAGAGGCUAAAUUACAGCCCGCCUUUCUAGAUGUGUUCUGAAGAACUGAUGAAUUAUAACAUCUAGUCUCCUUAUCCAUUUACAUGGUAUAGAUAACAAUAAUUUAGGACUUCUUUAAAAUUAUUUUUUCAGGUUUUAAAACUUCAUUUGCAUAUUAAAAAUUGUGCAUUCCAAUAAUUAAAAUCGUUUGAACAAAAAAAAAAUGGCACCCUGAUUAAACUCCAUUUUUAUAUCCUGCAGGACAUGUUGGGCCAUCUUUAUUUUACUCUCAAUUCCACCGUCUCCCACCCAGCCUUUUCCUUCACCAACAUGCAAGUUCUUUUCCCUCUCUGCCAGCCAGGCCAGCAGGUGGGCGGGAGAGGCGGGGGGGGGGGG